CGCUGAGUUUUGCCAGUUAGUUGCGCAAAGUUCUGAAGGCGUCAGGGCGAAGAGGAAGAAGUUUCACGAGCUUAUCGACCGGUUUAUGGAUGCGCAGUUCGCGGGAGAUGAACUUUGAGGAGCGGGAAGUAAAUGCAUAAUUAGAACUUCACCGAUUGUUGCAAUUUAAAUUCGACGAGGCAGCGCUGUUACCAGAUGAACAAUGAAACAUUUAGAGCGAAUAUUUUUUAGGUAGUGAAACACAGUUUUGAUUGACCGAAAUACGAUAUCAGUAUGAACAUUAUCUGGUUAUGUUCUCAUCAAAUGAACUGCUUACAUUGUGUUAAAAAGAAUUACUUCUGGAUUGUUUGAAACCGCUUCAGUUAUUUAACCCGUCACCUCUUCGCUGCAAUGAGAAACCCCCCACAUUUGACAUUCCGUUCGACGUGUUUGACGUCUAGUUAUGCAAUCUAAUUUUGUCUCCUGAAAACCUCUAAUUUUUAAGCCAUUUACCAAAUAUUUGUACCAUAUUUAUGCAAGAAAUUAUACCCUUAUGAUUAAGAGUAAACCAACAGGUGUCUUCAGAAUGAUCAGAAGGACUUUGAAGUUGUGCAUCAACCGACCCACAGGGGUUCACCCCCUAAUGGAACAGGAUGGAUCAAAAAUACUCUAAAAUUUCCCCUAAAAAUGGGGAUCGGUAUUAUAGCCAAGCAUGUAAGGGGGCGUUUUAAGCCAUUUCGAGGUUGCUGAUCACUGAUGAUACUAUUUUGAUUCUGUAUUUUUUAACGUUUCUCCUACCCUCUUAAGAGCAACUUCCAGGAGGUUGCAAAUGACAAGUUUCAAACAUAAGGGGUAGUUCAAGACUAUUUCAAGGAUUUUUGCUAUCGCAUACUGAAAAGUAGUGAAAAGGCGCCAUUCAUUUAAGAGGAUAUGUUGGCGUAAAUGCAGGACGUGUUUGAAGAGCGGCACCUGCCGCAGGAUUUCACUCUUUCACUCUUUCACUCUCUGUUUCCUUCCCGUUUACCACUCAUUCCUGGGACAUUAUUUGAUUGAGAUAUACUUUUUGAAGAAAGUU